CUGGGAAUAAUAACAAACCAGGACUGCAUCAGGUUACCAGGAAGGAGAUGAUCUUGCAGAUUGGCAGGGAAAAACGCAGGAUGAGCCUGCCAAAUCGUGAGUGUCACUGAAGGAUGUAAAAUACUCCAUGACUUUGAUAAUGGGAAGAAAUGGCUUGAUGCGAACUCUAACUGCCAGCCCAGCAGAGGGAGUGACAGCUGAUCCAUUAGGCCUUCUAGUUUCCAGGCACGUAAGUUCUCAUUGGUCCCCUGUGGCUUAUUCAGAAUCUGGCUUGAAGUAUUAAUUUGCAACCUGCUAAGAGCCUUGUGGACUUGGAUAAAUACAGAUAAAUACCAGUCAGCUCAUUUAAAAAUGCUCUUUCCCUUGUUUUGUUGAUUUCCUUCCGGUGGGUAUAGUAUUUCAAAGAGCUCUGAAGUUGCUGUUUUCAUUCCUUAUGCAUGACUUUUAUUAGCCCUGCUGGCCACGAAAGCCCCUGGAUGCUGAGAGGCAGCGACUUGAAUUCUAGCUACAGAGGCUUCAGAGAAUGGGGAGUGAUGUGACCGAGGACAGAAACCCUCAGAAGUGGACAACCUCAAGUCAACUGCAACCCCCACUCAUCUUUGCUAUGACCCACCCUAGAGCUUAGAAACUAUAUGUGCAAGGCUCGCUGUUUACAGUGGGGAACAAGAAGAAGGAUUGAAAAAGGGGCAGGAAAAAUCAAAACCCACUCUCAACACUCUAACCUCCAUUCUAGCUAUUCAUUUCUGCUUCCCUUUUAAUCUUUUGGAUAGUUCAACAUUUUUGGUUUGGGAGUCUUAUUCACCUUCCAGGUAAGCUUAACUCAUCUCUCUGUUGUUCGAUCCAAACUUCUUACCUUUUUUAUUUUCCCCACAGUCCUGAAGUUAACUUCCCUUUAGCCAUCCACCAUCUCAGGGUCAUAUCAGGAUUUCAAAUCCCCAUCACGUCCCUUGGCAGUGACCUCAGAGCCCAAGGCAAACUCACACACAUGGAGAGGUUAGAGAUCAUUGCUGAGCCUGUGAAGCCAGGAGCGUAUGGGUGAACUGGGGAAUGUGAACAAGAGGGGAUGAAGAAUGGAGGAUGGAAGAUAAAGGAAACCAUUUAGGAGACAGCAUUGGCUCUUAUCCUGUAAAAGAAGGCUGACCUAGAGUGGGGCCUUGGAGCACCAGGAAAUUUCAUGGGCUGAGGCUGAGCAAAGAAUUAUUAUGUUCUCCAGGCUGGUGUGGUUUGGAGAACCAGCAGUUGUCGGGGAAGAUUCUACAGGCAAAGUCUCUUUAAACAGGGUAGCAUCCAUAUUUAAUAAGUUUUUAUUGAAUUUCCAUGAGGUGCAGGGCCCCAUGCUGGGCACCAUGUUGAACAUGACAGACAAGGUCACUAUUCUCAUGGAGCUUACAUUUCAGUGAAGAAGACAGACAAUUUCACAAGCAGCUACAAAUGUGACACAUGUUACCGAACAGAAGAUACCAAAGACUGUUGGAGCAUCUAAUGUUGGAAGAACAUCUUGACCUUACCAGAAAAACAGUAAUAAACUUCAGAAUGUCUCACCAGUGAAAGCGUGGGUCCAAUAACCAAAGGAUUUGAACAUCAACACAUCACACAGUCUAACACUGCCAGAGGCCAGGAUGGCUUUGACUAACAGAUAGCCCUGUCUGGAUUGGCCUUGUCCACAUUCAAGGUGUUACCUGCAUGGUAUGCAAUUUCUACCUAGGAUACCUUGGCCUGAUACCAGUAUGUUCCCACUCCCAAGGUGCACUUGCAUCUGAUUCAUCUCAGAGCAAUAUCCUCCUAAGGGUAGAUGCUGCAGGAAAUCAAACAUCUACAAAUAAUUUUUUAAAAAAUCAAUAUUAACCAUGUUUGCAGUGUUAUGUAUUUUUGAACUAAGUGUUCCAUUAUUCCACAUAGAUUAUUCAGAGAGGACAGAGUGAUAACACUGUUGACUCUAUUCUUUUCUUUUUUUUUUUUUAAGUAUUUAUUGAUCAU
rnacentral:lncRNA from 10 species